GCAACACACCUUCAUCUGCCUCCAAAGACCUCGAUCACGUCCGGUUUUCUGUGGGCUUUUCCUGACUGUUACUAGUAUCCUUUUAAAAACCAAAAAUAGCUUGUCUUCCCUUGCUGGGGGGCCCUGUUCCAGGUGGCUUUGACUGAUGUACUCUGCUGCUCACCACCCCCUGUGUUCAGAGGACAGAGAGGGUUCCUCCUGCUUCUCUGUUCAUCCUCUUAGGUCCCUGUAGUGCCACCAGAGCCCAGUUGACGCGUGGCCAGGUGCAGAGGAUGGAAGCGGACGUCUGGUGGCCGAGUUGUUAGGGUCAGUACCACCCAACUGGACGCAGCAUCUCUACCAAGUCAGACGGGCUCCCUGGUGCUCACAUGUCCUUCCUGACACCUGGGCAGCCGGGGACCUGACUUUGCUGUUUCUCCUGGGACGGCCCAUGAAGAGAAGCCACAGCUCGCAGGGUUCAGUGUCCGCUUGUGCUUGACAGACAUUUGGAGGCUCAUCAGGACUGAGCAGAUGCCUUGGGGCCUUGCUCCUCCUUGCUGAGGAGCAGUAUGUCACGUCUCUACGCGGACUUGAAAUCUCUGCCCAGAUAAACUGCCCGUUUCAUAUUCAUUUAAGCUCAGACAUCAGGCUUCUUUGCAAGUAUUCGGCGUCAUCUGGAACAACGAUGACUAACCUCCGCCAGCUUCCUCCCAGGCUUGGAUAGACGUCCUCCUUCCUCCCUGCCCACCCAGCUCGGCAUUUCUGUUGUACUGAAGACCAUGAUUCUUAACCCGUCAAACGUCUUAUGGGAAACAAGAAGCUUGACAUCCAUCUCUGUUCCCCUGAUGAAUAUAGUUUACAUCUAAAAUCUUAAAAGUUACUAUAUUUCUAGAUAUUCUAGAAUAUUUCCUGCAUUCUAAAUACAUCCAAGAGGACUGUGGCUGGGGCUCAGUAGUGGAGUUCUUGCCUAGCAUGCACUAGGUCCAGAUCCACAAAACAAAACAAAUAUAUAUUUCCAAGGGUCUUCUUGACACCUCCACCCAGCAAAUAGAUGUCUCAAACUCGUGUGUCCCCAAGCGAGCUCCUGGUCCCCCUGGGCUGCUGCCCCGUCCUGCUCCACCCACAGCCUUCCCUUCUUAGCAGGGGUCAAGCCUGUGACCGUCUUUGGACCUGUGUGGCCUCUGUCCUCCCUCUCAGUCUGUGUUCACUUUUCAGUCACUCCUCCCUCGUCUUCCAGGGCUGUGGAUCUUUGUUUUAUUACUGUGUGUCCUUAGUACCCAGAACAGUGCCCAGCAAUAGUGGGUCCUCAAUAAAUAUUUGUCAGAUGGAUCACCGACUCCGGAA